rnacentral:rRNA from 1 species
CCCUUAGAUGUUCUGGGCGGCCCGCGCACUACAUUGGCACUCUCAAUAAGUUCCUAGAUCUAAAACUUUGGGGUAUUCUAUUAAGUGGUGUCGUGACUGGGAUUAACCCUUGCAAUUAUUGGUUACGAACGAGGAAUUCCUUGUAAUCGCGGUUUAUCAGCCCGCGUUGAAUGCGUCCCUGCCCUUUGUACACACCGCCCGUCGCUCCUACCGAUGAAUCGUCCGGUGAAGUUCGUGGAGUGGUGGUUGUUCCAGCUGCUGUCGAAGUGAAAUGGACCUCACGAUUUAGAGGAAGGAGAAGUCGUAACA